AGUGAACGCUGGCGGUAGGCCUAACACAUGCAAGUCGAACGGCAGCACAGUAAGAGCUUGCUCUUACGGGUGGCGAGUGGCGGACGGGUGAGGAAUACAUCGGAAUCUACUUUUUCGUGGGGGAUAACGUAGGGAAACUUACGCUAAUACCGCAUACGACCUACGGGUGAAAGCAGGGGAUCUUCGGACCUUGCGCGAUUGAAUGAGCCGAUGUCGGAUUAGCUAGUUGGCGGGGUAAAGGCCCAUCAAGGCGACGAUCCGUAGCUGGUCUGAGAGGAUGAUCAGCCACACUGGAACUGAGACACGGUCCAGACUCCUACGGGAGGCAGCAGUGGGGAAUAUUGGACAAUGGGCGCAAGCCUGAUCCAGCCAUACCGCGUGGGUGAAGAAGGCCUUCGGGUUGUAAAGCCCUUUUGUUGGGAAAGAAAAGCAGAAGGUUAAUACCCCGCUGUUCUGACGGUACCCAAAGAAUAAGCACCGGCUAACUUCGUG
rnacentral:rRNA from 1 species